GAGGAUAUAGCUCAGGUGGUAAAGCACAUGCUUAUCAUGCAUGAGGUCCUGGAUUCAACCCCCAGUACCUCU
rnacentral:tRNA from 1 species